rnacentral:lncRNA from 1 species
GUUUUAGGUCGCACAUGUUUAUUAAUACACUUUGCCUCUCAAACAUCACAAAUUACCUGCAUUUCAAAAGGAAGAGUCUUUCCUUGGGCUUUGUGGAGACAGAAGAAAAAGAAAUUUUAAGUUGAAACCCAGCAUAGACAGGGCCUCACUCUGUGAGGUGCAACCUCAGCUCAUUGCAACCUCCACCUCCUGGGUUCAAGCCAUUCUUGUGUCCCAGCCACUCUGAAACCGCCUUUGCAAAAUUAUGACUGAGACAGUGAAAGAGAACUAACUUAAUUGACUCCAUCUUGCUUCUAACCUCCAAGCUGUCCUUGUUCAUUCCUGGGCCUAGGCUAAAUUAACUUUGGGAGAAACUUAGUUUAUAGUUUAAACAAAGAUGGUAACAGCCCUUUCCCAAAGCAGACUUCCUUCUUGCCUGGGGACUAGAUUGCCUUUGUAGGACUAACAUUAGUCACAAGAUGAGAAAUUAUGGUUUAGGAGUCAUGCAGCCGGAGGAUACAAGAUUCUGACUUUCUCUACAUUGCUCCCAAGAUCAGUGCUUGAGAUAUUUUGCAGACCCUGCACUUGAUGGAUCAGCUGGCACCACCCAGAUCAAUAAACUGGCUCAGCUGAUCUUGUGGCCCCCACCCAGGAACUGACUGAGCACAAGAGAGCUCUGACUCCCUGUGAUUUCAUCUCUGACCAAUCAGCACUCCUGGCUCACUGGCUUCCCCCCACCCACCAAGUUAUCCUCAAAAACACUGCUCCCCGAAAGCUCGGAGAGUAAUAAUAAAACUCCA